UUAAAAUGACUUCUUUUAUCC
rnacentral:piRNA from 1 species